GAGUUUGAUCCUGGCUCAGAUUGAACGCUGGCGGCAUGCCUUACACAUGCAAGUCGAACGGCAGCACGGGAGCUUGCUCCUGGUGGCGAGUGGCGAACGGGUGAGUAAUGCAUCGGAACGUAUCCUGGAGUGGGGGAUAACGUAGCGAAAGUUACGCUAAUACCGCAUAUUCUGUGAGCAGGAAAGCGGGGGACCUUCGGGCCUCGCGCUCUUGGAGCGGCCGAUGUCGGAUUAGCUAGUUGGUGAGGUAAAGGCUCACCAAGGCGACGAUCCGUAGCAGGUCUGAGAGGAUGAUCUGCCACACUGGAACUGAGACACGGUCCAGACUCCUACGGGAGGCAGCAGUGGGGAAUUUUGGACAAUGGGGGCAACCCGUGAUCCAGCCAUGCCGCGUGAGUGAAGAAGGCC
rnacentral:rRNA from 1 species